AGACUAAUGAACCAGCUGGCUUCCUUUCUGAAGUGAUUUCUGCUGUUUCCAAUACUGAACAAUAGCGCAGCGGGAUUUGAAAGGGAGAAGGAAGAACAUUCAGCUGGGGAGAAGGGACAUCCUCCAAGUUAGCCAGCUGAUGGGUUGGCUGUACUGGGGAAGGGAUGCAUAGAGUGCAGUGGAUUGUGCUGUGCUGCCGAGCAGGAAUGACCCACGGGCAGGGGACCCAGGAGUUGUCUUCCAACAUGUGAUGUGGUGGAGUGGCAGACGAAAAGAGAUGAGAGAGAAGACGGGAUCAGGCCUGGAACAGCGUUGCAGGCCAGGCAUAAGAGUUUGGAUUUUUAUCCUGAAGACAAUGGGGAUUUUUAACAUGGAACGUACGAGAUCAACUUUUGCCGUUACAAAGAUCACUUUGAUAAAGUGUGGGCAGCAGAUGAGAGAUGGGCUGAGGAGCUGAAGGUGAUCAGCUGACUGAACACUCCAGGCAAGAGACUGUAUACUCUGUUUGAGGCCUGGCACCUUUUAAACCUUGAAUCAUCUCCCACGGUGCCUUUGUGUAGCAGCUUGUUUGUGUAUAUUUGGUACUACAUGAUGGAAAAGAAAAAUUUUAAAGGCCUGUGAGAUUGACCACCAGAUCUCUGAUGAUCUUGGGAGAGUGUUUUCCCAUGGUGUGUUGGGGCAGAUGUCAGACUCCAGUGGUACAUGGAAUGGGGGAUGAAGGAAAAGCAAACCAGGAGCUGAAUCUACAAUCCGGGCUGCCUCACUUUCCACUAGCCCAUCUUCUCCUUCUUCGUUUGGAAGGCAGUGAAGCACCAUGACUGUGGAAGAUGCAGACCCAACUGGCUCUCUGGCUCAGCUUCUGGGAGCUGACCCUGGGCUUUCGAGGACAAUGCCAGCAGCUGGGACAGAGGUGAAGUCACUGUCACCAAGCCAUCAUCUGUCAAGGCUCCCCAGCCCCAUCCUGAGCUUACACGGCCCCCUGACCCGCCAGUCCUUAUUGCUGAGGCCAAGGGGAAGGAGAGAGAGAGACCUGGGCUAAAGGCUGGUGGGAGACACAGUCAGAAGAGAGAGAAGUGGAGCAGCAAAACCUGCUGAGGAGACCUGGCAGGGAGGCUGUCAGCCUGUUCAUCUUCAUGCUCGGGGCUGAGGCUGUGGCGGAAGGCACCACCCGGACUGUCAUUUGGACAAAUGCAUCUGUCAAACCCUGCAGGCACCAGUUCUGGCUUUCAGGGGCUCUGAUCCCAUUCCCUGCUGGCCCUUGUCCUCUGCCCCCACAGUGAGAUUGGCCUGUGUAUGUGUGGUGUGUGAUGUUUCCACAUUAAAGGAGCAGAAAGACGGAAGCCCUGGUGUCCAUCUGUAGCAGGAGCUCAGCCCAGGACUGUGUCCUCUCUCUCUCUCUCCCUGUAGCUGCUCUGAAGUCCUCUCCCCCAGACUGCUGGCAAAGCUGCAGAGCUUCUGACUCAGUGACAUUUUAUAAGAUCACUGUGUUCUUUCUUCAGAGCCAUUUGAGAUGGAAGUGGGAACAGGAAGCCCACUAUCUCAGAGGACAGGACCAAGGAUGGUGCUCCCCAACUGACGGAGGGCUGCAGGGAGUCAGAGCCCUGGGGGAGUGGUGGUAGGAGCCAACACCCUUGUGUUCCAGCCUGGCAUCAGGUACUAUCACGUGUUAUCUUUUCUUUUAACCCCCUCAAUUAUACCACGACGUGGGUAAAAUUACCCCCAUUUACAGGGAGAGGAAGUUGAAGCUGAGAGAGAGAAAGGUGAUUUACCUAAGGUCAUUCAGUGACUAGGAGGCCUCAAUAAUCUUUAACACCAGUCUUUUCCAAUUCUCCAUGUUGACUCUUCCUGUAUGCCUUGCAGCCUCCAAGCUUUCCCAUGAACCAGAGUUCCCAGGACACAUCACUGGUUUAUAAGGCAGUAUCGAAUGGCAUGAACUUAGUGGGGCUUACACAUGUACGGUGGUCAUCAUGCCUGUCUAAAUCUAGGCUCUGUCAGAAAUUCUCCUGGAAAGAUGGAUGAACACCAGGCUGAAUUGGCCGCCUCCAUGCCUAUGGGCAUGGAUGAGUGUUACACACAUAAUCAGACAGACACACACCCCUACCAAAGAAUCUCGGAGCUGGAGAAGAAUUGGUUGAUCAUUUAAUCCAAAUCCCUGACUCAUCAAAGUUCUAGUCACUAGACA
ensembl:lncRNA